UAAGCAUGGACUAUGCUACAUUUCAACUAACAGUUCCUCUUGCAAAUUUAUGAACAAAUUGAAUUUAUAUUUCAGUGGUUCAUGUGGAAGUAACCUGGUGUCUGUACUCACAGGCACCAGGGAGUUCUUGAGAGUGGAAUCUCAGGUUUAAAGAAAUAAAAUCUGUUUCCUCACAUUCCUUUGUGAUUCAGUGUAGUUACAGUCACAGAGGAGCUAAUAGAUUCCUGGUCUAUUUUUCAGCCCUACACCUGAAUUUUUUUUUAGAUAGGAGGAGGAGGAAAGCAGUAUGAGGAGGGAAGGGAGUUGAUGCAUGCAUUAUGGUUUUAGUAGUGCUACCAGUUCCAGAUAUGUCAUAUUGCCCACCCAGCUCAUCUGUAAAAUGGGAAUGAUAGUACUUACCUCUUUUGUGAAGUGGGUAAAUUGCUAAUACAAUGAUCUCAGAGCUCAAGAGGCUAUAAAAAUUUUGGUGAGUAAUUCCAUUUUUUCUUUGCCUUGAUUUACUACAGGUGGCUAUCUGUCAGGCUUGAGUUUUUGGGAAAUUUAAUGGUGUUCUUUGCUGAAUUGUUUGUAGCACUGUCUGGAAAUACAGUGAGUUCUUCUACAGUGGGUUUAUCAAUAUCCUAUGCUCUAAAUGUGAUCCAGAUUCUAGAUGUUUGGGUGUAUAGAGCAUGUGAAAUUGAGACCAAUGCACUUUCAAUUGAAGGAAUUUGUGAAUGUGCAACGAUCAAUAAAGAGUGUUGGGCAGAGACAGCAGGUCUGUUUGGCCUGUGCUUUGCUGUGAAAGACAAAAAUCCUGGUCCUAGAUGAGCUUCUGUUGACAUGGAAACAGAUUACUUUGUGCACUCCACCAUCAAAACAGAGUUUCACAACUGCACAGUGUUAACUAUAGCCCACAGGUUACACAGAGUCAUGGAUUCAGAAAGGGAAGUUUUGA